AUCUUGCCUCGCGUUGCUGGUCGGGCACCAUCACUUGUGGUGUCCGCGAAAGAGGGAACACCGGUGCAAAACCGGGACUGCCCCGCAGCGGUAAGCGGAAACGACCGCCGUCAUGGCACUGGAUCUUCAGGUCCGGGAAGCGACGGCCAGUAGGCGCGAGCCCCCCUUCAUCAGUCCGAUGGAGACGGGAACUCGCACGUCCGCGAGUCCGAAGACCUGCCGGCAACGGAGCGGUGUG
rnacentral:ncRNA from 2 species